UAAGACAGAGGUGGCAAGCGUUGUUCGGAUUUACUGGGCGUAAAGGGUGCGUAGGCGGUUGGAUAAGAUGUGCGAGAAAGCUCACGGCUUAACCGUGAAAGUUCGUACAUAACUAUUUGACUAGAGAAUGGGAGAGGAAAGCGGAAUUCCCGGUGGAGCGGUGAAAUGCGUAGAUAUCGGGAGGAAGGCCUGUGGCGAAGGCGGCUUUCUGGAACAUUUCUGACGCUGAAGUACGAGAGCGUGGGGAGCAAACAGGAUUAGAUACCCUGGUAGUCCACGCCGUAAACGAUGGGCACUAAGUGUCGGCAGGUUUCCUGUCGGUGCCGCAGCAAACGCAUUAAGUGCCCCGCCUGGGGAGUACGGCCGCAAGGUUG
rnacentral:rRNA from 1 species